rnacentral:rRNA from 1 species
UGGCUCAGAACGAACGCUGGCGGCAGGCCUCAAACAUGCAAGUCUAGGGGGUGUAGCAAUACAUCACCGGCGGACGGGUGCGUAACGCGUGGGAAUAUACCUAUUGGUUCGGAACAACUGAGGGAAACUUCAGCUAAUACCGAAUGUGCCCUUACGGGGAAAGAUUUAUCGCCAAUGGAUUAGCCCGCGUCCGAUUAGCUAGUUGGUGGGGUAACGGCCCGCCAAGGCUCCGAUCGGUAGCUGUUCUGAGAGGAAGAUCAGCCACACUGGGACUGAGACACGACCCAGACUCCUACGG